UACGGAGGAUCCGAGCGUUAUCCGGAUUUAUUGGGUUUAAAGGGUGCGCAGGCGGGAUGUUAAGUCGGCGGUGAAAUUUUGCAGCUCAACUGUAAAAGUGCCUUCGAUACUGGCUUCCUUGAGUAUGGAUGAAGUAGGCGGAAUUUGUGGUGUAGCGGUGAAAUGCAUAGAUAUCACGAGGAACUCCGAUUGCGCAGGCAGCUUACUAAGCCAUAACUGACGCUCAGGCACGAAGGCGUGGGGAGUCAAACAGGAUUAGA
rnacentral:rRNA from 1 species